UACGUAGGAGGCAAGCGUUGUCCGGAAUUAUUGGGCGUAAAGCGCGCGCAGGCGGUCCUUUAAGUCUGAUGUGAAAGCCCACGGCUUAACCGUGGAGGGUCAUUGGAAACUGGUCGACUUGAGUGCAGAAGAGGGAAGUGGAAUUCCAUGUGUAGCGGUGAAAUGCGUAGAGAUAUGGAGGAACACCAGUGGCGAAGGCGGCUUCCUGGCCUCUAACUGACGCUGAUGAACGAAAGCGUGGGUAGCAAACAGGAUUAGAUACCCGU
rnacentral:rRNA from 1 species